rnacentral:rRNA from 1 species
GAUGAGCGCUGGCGGCGUGCCUAAUACAUGCAAGUCGAGCGAACAGACGAGGAGCUUGCUCCUUCGACGUUAGCGGCGGACGGGUGAGUAACACGUAGGUAACCUACCUAUAAGACUGGGAUAACUUCGGGAAACCGGAGCUAAUACCGGAUAAUAUUUCGAACCGCAUGGUUCGAUAGUGAAAGAUGGCUUUGCUAUCACUUAUAGAUGGACCUGCGCCGUAUUAGCUAGUUGGUAAGGUAACGGCUUACCAAGGCAACGAUACGUAGCCGACCUGAGAGGGUGAUCGGCCAAACUGGAACUGAGACACGGUCCAGACUCCUACGGGAGGCAGCAGUAGGGAAUCUUCCGCAAUGGGCGAAAGCCUGACGGAGCAACGCCGCGUGAGUGAUGAAGGUCUUCGGAUCGUAAAACUCUGUUAUUAGGGAAGAACAAACGUGUAAGUAACUGUGCACGUCUUGACGGUACCUAAUCAGAAAGCCACGGCUAACUACGUG